rnacentral:lncRNA from 1 species
UUAUGCAAGAAAAACACAGGCAAAAUCAUGAUUUGCAAAUACCUUGAGGCAGAGACAGUAAAAUAUACAGAUGAAAAUAAAGUGAAGAUUCAAAGUAAAACAAUAGUAAAUUGACAAUUAUCAAUGGUAGAAAAGAAAUUUGAACGAGUAUUUUUAGGUCCAAAAUCAGGGUAUAACAGCUGCCCCUAUUUAAGUUUCUUUGUCCGGAGGGUCAAGAGACGGAGUCCUUGGCUUGACGGGACGAAGAUACUUAAAUAUUAACAUUUGCACUGUGUUUGGACGUAAAAAUACGCUUGUACGUUUUCAAAU